CGGAGUGUGGCGCAGUUGGUAGCGCGCAUCGUUCGGGACGAUGAGGCCGGCGGUUCAAGUCCGCCCACUCCGACCA
rnacentral:tRNA from 1 species